AGAGACAUCCUCAACGACGACGACGACGACGACAGCGGAAUGAACGUCGAAUGAAUCGUUCGCCAUCGGCAGCAGCGCGGAAACAGCAUCGAAAACAUGCUAUCCUCACAAAAACCUGCAACAACCACCGUGUGCACAACCACCAGUGGAGUGUGCCAUGUCUGCACCACACUGCAGCAAACAAUCGAACCAAAAAAGAAACGAAGAAACAGAAGAGAAUUAAACAGACGUAAACAGACAGCGCUAAA